AAGAGACAACAGUGUUAAGCAGCACACCACGGCAGGUUGCAGGUGCAACUGAGCCCUUUGUUAUCUGUUUCAGUUGUUUGGACGGACAUUUUCUGCCCAACUGCUGUGAGCAUGUGGCUCCUGGGUUUCAGCCUCCUGUUACUGGCUGAUGCUGUAGCACCCGACCCCUGCACCGACCACAAGUACAUCUACGACAAGGGAGGUAGCAGUCCGAAAUGUCCCUAUCAGCCAGAGGAGUGUGACCGCUACAUCACCGAGAACUGGUACAAGGUGGUCAAUUACUAUGGAGCUCUGGAGAUGCCAAAAUCGCACGUGGACAUCAACAGCUGCGGCGCCAACUACCCAGGCUGGCUGAAUGGAACCCUUCCGUCCGACGCUGACUGUAUUAGGAACAUGCAGUUUGUGUCAGUUUCUACAAUGAACCCUGCAAAAAGCAAAUUACAAUCCAGGUGGAAAACUGUAGUCAUUUCUAUGUAUACUACCUAAAGAAGAUGGACGGCUGUUCUGAGAGAUACUGCUUUGGUACAGAUGGCGAUUGUCCAACUACCACAGUAGCACCAACUACAGCAGCACCAACUACAGCAGCACCUACUACAGCAGCACCAACUACUGCCCAACCCACACUUACCCCUAGAACUGUCAAUAAUUAUUGUGAGUGCACCUCGGAGAUCUACCGCACAUUGACGAUCUGUCUGGCAACAUUGGGGGCAGCAGCGGUGUUGUGUUUCCUAUUAAAGCUAUAUUACAAUUCGACGCGUCCUCGGGUCUCGGUCCUCGAUCUUACGAAGCCGGCUGAAAAAACAGCAUUGCCCCCCUAAAAUAUGCGUACUUAGUUGGUCGUUUCAUUGUAGAAAUCUCUGUUCAUACAUGUGUAAGACAUGAUAGAGAACUUUAUUGUGUAAAUAUCGAGACGGUUAAAGAUAAACAUAUGUAUUCUUUGACUAUUUAAGAAUUGACUUUCACUUAGAGUUCAAGGCAUGAACCUUCAUAAGAUGAGGGCCACACUGUAUGAACGUCGGAGCUUGCGAUGACGUUUAUGCAAUGCCCGGCCCUCACUCUAUGAAGGUUCAUACACCAAUAAACUCACACAAAAUGAAAGUAAAUAUAAUUUUUUAUAUCACUAUUGUAUAAGUCGGGGGAUGGAUUCUUCUUGAACAUCUAUUGUGGUUUGGUUACAACAAAUAAAUUCAAAAAAUAUUAUUAUUUAUGAUGAAAAUGUCUCUAAAGAACAAUCUCAAUAAGUCAGUCAUGGUGGCGGCGCGUCGUAAGACAUUUACAUCAUAUACAGAAAGUCAAAAUGGCCGACACGAUAAACGUAACGGGAGAGAUUUCCGAAGUUGUUCAUGAACCUGUGGCGAUUACAAAAUAUUAGUCUUCAUUGAUCAACAGGCCGAUCAGUGAAAGGAGACUACAUGUAUAAAGAUGUGUCAAAUAGAUACUAGUACUGAGGUAAAUUUAAAGUAUGCUGUUUGCGGUUACUUGUCAGUCUGGACAGCAAUCGAGUCCAUAGUUUUGAUGUGAUAUUCUUCGUUUUGUUCACUAGGAUGGAUCGUGGCGCGGAUAUUCUUGAAUGGGCAUACAAUUAAACUCUCUGAAAUAUCGCCAUGUAUGGUAAAAUGCUAUGUUCAAAAUUAUAGAGUCUAAAUUAGAAAGAACGCUGUUGCAUUUAUUCAUGCAUUCAUGCAAGGGAAUUCCCAAUGGUUUCCUCAGGAAUGUGGAGGCAGUCCGCCAGUGAACACGUCAUUUCGAGAAUACAGUCUCGUAAAAUACGAAUGAACGUCAAAAUGUGUUGUAGAUACACUUAUGGACGUCAGCUUCGCGCCAGGUGACCGAUUAUCGUCCAAUGGAAAGCCGUAUAUCGUGUAAGCGUCACAUUAUAAAGUGACAAGGUUAGAUUUGUGUCGUUUUGCAACUUAUUCAUAUGACAUAUGUAUUAUCAUGUUCCAUGUGCUUGUAUCCUGACAUGAUUUAUCUCCCCUUGUAUGUAUAUGUUGGAAUGUCGUUUUCGUUAUUGUAUUUUCACCUGUGUCUGGUUACUAUUGUGAUAUUGUGACUGUAAUUGAUAAACAGUUUAAUACAUAUAAUUCAAACUCUGA